rnacentral:rRNA from 1 species
GUAGGUGGCAAGCGUUGUCCGGAAUUAUUGGGCGUAAAGCGCGCGCAGGCGGUCCUUUAAGUCUGAUGUGAAAGCCCACGGCUCAACCGUGGAGGGUCAUUGGAAACUGGGGGACUUGAGUACAGAAGAGGAAAGCGGAAUUCCAAGUGUAGCGGUGAAAUGCGUAGAGAUUUGGAGGAACACCAGUGGCGAAGGCGGCUUUCUGGUCUGUAACUGACGCUGAGGCGCGAAAGCGUGGGGAGCAAACAGGAUUAGAUACCCUGGUAGUCCACGCCGUAAACGAUGAGUGCUAAGUGUUAGGGGGUUUCCCGCCCCCUUAGUGCUGCAGCUAACGCAUUAAGCACUCCGCCUGGGGAGUACGCCGCAAGGCUG